rnacentral:misc_RNA from 1 species
AAAUAAGCAAAUAAAUAAAACUCAAUAACUAAAUUAAGGGGUGAAUCUUGUUUAACCUCCAAAUCUAUUACUGUAGUUUAGAAUUAAUUAUUCAUUAAUUUCAAUUAAUGAUAGAAUUUGUAUCACUGUUAAAAAAAUAAAAUUUAAAUAUUCACUUAAAUAAAAAACACAUAUUUAGAUGGCCCAUCAAAGCCCAUAACGCGAAACCUGUCUAAAGCACAAAGCCAUAGGCCCAUAGCCCAUCUCCAUCAUGCCCUCCUGCAGUAACAACCAAGCCGAAACGACUCUGCACCUUUUCCCUCCAACUCUUUCCGCUGAAACGGAAGGCCACGUCCGAUACUGUGUUCUCUUUCUUUCAGCUCUGUGGGAGGAAAUUCCGACGUCUGUACGUUCUCUCUCUUCUCUCUGUAACCUAGAUUUCGGUAUAUAAAAACUAUAUACACAAAAGUGUAUGUAGAGGCACUAAUGGAAGGGCAAGACAUGAGAUGAUCAGUUUCAUGGUGCAAUUGCAGAUCUUCGAGUACAAAUGAAGUGCCCUAAUAGCGAUGGAAGGCAAGAAUUGCUUUGCCAUAGCGAGCGAUUGGCGACUCGGCGUCCAGCUUCAAGCAAUCGCUACUGAUUUUCAGAGAAUCUACAAAAUCCCUGACAGGCGCUUUCUUGGUCUAUCCGGCCUAGCAACCGAUCCUUAAACUCUGUAUAUUCACUCAUCUUUACCUUUAUUUUUAUCGCCUCUCUAUUAAAUCUUAUGAGUUUGCAUUGUUUUGGCUCCUAUUGUCGUGUGUGCUGGCUUUUUGGCGGGUUUCUCUUCAUUUUGCUGUAUGUUUGUUUUUCAAGGGUUAGGAAUGUGAAUAAUAUGUAGGUAUCAGUGGUACCAGUUGCAAGAAGAGAGGGACAUGGAGCCUCCUUUAUGAGAAAAGUUUGUAACUUACAUAAUUCCGUUUGAACUAGUUCCAUUUGAAGUCUUCUUAUAGCACAACUGGUUUGCAUGCACAGAAAUAAAUGAAGAUGUUACUCUUUCUCAGGUUUGGUCCCUAUUUCUGCCAGCCUGAAAUUGCAGGAUUGAGUGAUGAAGACAAGCCAUUCAUUUGCACAAUGAAAAUGGAUACAAUUGGAGCCAAAAUUCAGCAAAAGUCUUUGUUGUUGCUUCAGAGUCACUUUAUGGUGCCUGUGAAGCCAUGUUCAAGCCUGACAUGUUCCCUACUGAAGUUAGAGAAUUUUGAGUAGAAGGAUGGAUUGACUACUGUUUAUGAGGCUGAGGCUACCAGUUUUUAGAUAUUGUCAACGAUGGACUUGAACGAUUGAUGCAAAAACUCUCCAAUAAAAAUGGAGUUUAUACCUUUGAACCUUUAUCAGCUAUUACUAUGUACCAACCAGAAAACCGUUUGAAGUCGUUUCUUCAUGUCAAAACAAGUUGCAUUUAACCAUCCAAGAAAGAAGCUACAGGUACGCAUUUACAAUGUCGAUAGCCAUUUUAAAUCUCAUCCUAGAUUUUGGGCAACUACGCCACUCCCAAAUUAGACAUAAGCUUGUGACAUUUCACAUUAUUGACAAAAAGAAACAAUCCUUAACGCACUUCAUGAGGAACCCCCCCUGCAAUCCCAUAAGUCCAUCACAAUUUCAUCAACCAACACUUGAAGUAUAUCCCAAUCCAUUUGAGCGCCAGUUUCAAAAACUUCAAUUUCAAAAUCCGUCCAUUU